rnacentral:rRNA from 1 species
UACGAAGGGUGCAAGCGUUACUCGGAAUUACUGGGCGUAAAGCGCGCGUAGGCGGUUUUUUAAGUCAGAGGUGAAAGCCUGGAGCUCAACUCCAGAACUGCCUUUGAAACUGGAAAACUUGAAUCUUAGAGAGGUUAGUGGAAUUCCGAGUGUAGAGGUGAAAUUCGUAGAUAUUCGGAGGAACACCAGUGGCGAAGGCGGCUCACUGGCUCGAUACUGACGCUGAGGUGCGAAAGCGUGGGGAGCAAACAGG